GCGCCUGGGCGGCAGCUAAACAUGCAGUCGACGGUAGCACAGAGGAGCUUGCUCCUUGGGUGACGAGUGGCGGACGGGUGAGUAAUGUCUGGGAAACUGCCCGAUGGAGGGGGAUAACUACUGGAAACGGUAGCUAAUACCGCAUAACGUCGCAAGACCAAAGAGGGGGACCUUCGGGCCUCUUGCCAUCGGAUGUGCCCAGAUGGGAUUAGCUAGUAGGUGGGGUAACGGCUCACCUAGGCGACGAUCCCUAGCUGGUCUGAGAGGAUGACCAGCCACACUGGAACUGAGACACGGUCCAGACUCCUACGGGAGGCAGCAGUGGGGAAUAUUGCACAAUGGGCGCAAGCCUGAUGCAGCCAUGCCGCGUGUAUGAAGAAGGCCUUCGGGUUGUAAAGUACUUUCAGCGAGGAGGAAGGCGUUGUGGUUAAUAACCGCAACGAUUGACGUUACUCGCAGAAGAAGCACCGGCUAACUCUGUGCCAGCAGCCGC
rnacentral:rRNA from 1 species